GUAUAUGGAAAGCAAGCAUAACAGAUUUGCAAUUGAGGAAUAGUUAACUGAUUGAUUUGGACCAUUUAGCUCAAAUAACUGAAGGAAGAAAGAACAUUUUCACAAAGAGGAGUUGUUAGCUUAUUACUAUAUUCUAUUAAGUGCUUCUUGUUGAAUUCUUCCUUGGUUAUUUGUAUUCACAUAACAUCUUUUAGUGAAUGAUCAUUUUCGAGCUUUUCCUUGUUUAUUAUAUUCAGAGUAUAUUAGUGUAUUUUGGUUAAUGAACUUAUUGAUGCAUGAGAACCAAGAUGCUUAUGAUUAUUUUAACUUUUCUUUUUUAGGUAGGGAUUUUAUCGCACCCUGUAAAUGUAGGGAUACAUCAAAGUAUGUUCACCGAGAAUGCCUUGAUCAGUGGCGUGCUGUUAAGGAAGGAUUUGCAUUUUCCCAUUGUACGACCUCCAAGGCUCCCUUUUACUUGAGAGUUAAUGAUCUUCAAAGAAAAUGGUGAACCUUAAAGUUUCGGUUCUUUGUGACCAGAGACAUUUUGUUCGUCUUUCUUGCAGUUCAGCUUGUACGUUAUAGCUUUACUGGGUUAUUUAGUAUAUAAGAUUGAUACACACUAGAGAUUUUGGCUUCGUUUGCAUUGGGGGUUUGGUAGUGAACUGGGCUUCUAUUACAUAUGCGGUGAGGUCUUGGACUUCUGUGCGGAGGGUAUAAUACUUAAACUUAUUGAUUGGAUGAUUGUUGCUUCUGGGGGUGCUUAUGAUACAAAAAAUCUUCAGGAGUGCAUAGGAUCAACUGUUAUUGCUAUGGGACCAGAGAAACUGUUUGCGCUGUACCCAUCUCCCUGAAUACGAAGGAUUACUCUUUGUCAAACAGUUGGUUGAUUUCUGUUUUAAAUAAAUAUGUAUGUGGAUCAUCACUUCGGUUCUUUAUGAAGCAUGUGGUGCCACUUGCUGUGUCCUUCGAACAGGCAUCAUCAAAAGUUAAAAAAUCAGUAUUUGGAGAAGAACUGUAGGCUUAUGCCCGUGGGUGUUGGGGACUAUUACCUGCCUUUUGUCACUGUCCAUCUGAUGUUCACAAGAAGGCCCAAGCUUUGACUACACUUUUGAUUCCUUUUCUAAAGGAGAGCUCCUUUAUGCUCGAGAAUAUUUCUGCAGCUUUGCAGGUUCAGUCCA